GCCGGCGGCUCGCGGGCGCCAUCUUGUGGAGGGGCAGAUCCUCACACCUCAGCAAGGCGGGGUGUUCUCGUGUGUGAGAAUUUGAGACAAAGUGCGAGGGGGGUUUUGCAAGGCCGGUAGUUUGAGGUACACUUCAGGUACACUUCAACGUUACCUCCCUUUUCAGUUCUGCAUGUGGAAACGGCUCAUGGUCAGAGACGGGGAGCCAUUACAGAGAUGCAGGUGCUGGCUGAACUAUUUAAAUUGCUUGUUUUUACACUGAUAACCACCAAAGCUAGGAUUGAGGUUGUUUCUAAGCCCACGGUUUCUAUCGCCAAAGUAUUUGUCAUGGGAAAAAAAAAAAUAGGGGAAACAUAGCAAUGAAUGGGUGAAUUUUGUUUUUGUGAUGGUUUGGGUGGGCUAGUAGAGCAAAGGGAGAAAGUGAGCCAGGUAGGGCUAACAGGAGCUGGAAUAUGGUCAGCUCUUGGAUGCUGGUUUGCUAAGAAGCUUGUAAAAAGGGAGAAAGGGCAACAUGAAUUACAGCAGUAAGAAGAAAACCUGUAGAUCUUUGAGAAUUGGGCUAUAGUUUGUAUGUAUGUAUUAAAAAAUUGUGCGUGUGUUUAUCAUUCCAAACACUGUCCGUGCAUUGUCCUAGCAAUGCUAAUGCACCUACAGAUGUGAAUAGGAAAAUAAAAUGAAGUGCUCACUGUAUGCCUAAAGUUCAUUAGCUGUGCAGUGGUCUAAUGAAAUUGCUGUACGACUAAUGGUAUGUAUAGCAGAUAAUGUAAAGUAAACCUGUGUCGGUACCAGUGGUAAAUAUGUGAAUGAAGUCCAGGAAUUCACACGUUCAGAGAAUCCCUUACUUUUGGUUGCCUGCAGUAUGUGACUGCCAAGUCAGUGGCUGAAGAAGCUGAGUGGUUGUUGGUCUGGAAUAUGGUAUUCUUUUCCAGCUAAAUAGAGAUUGGUAGUAAUUAAUACACGAUCACUUAGGUACAGUGUGGUUCUUGUGGUGAGACAGCAUGAAGGUUACUUUAAUGGUUGCAGGGAUGAAGGUAAUCUGCAGGAUUUAGUGUAAGCCUCUUGGAUGCUGAUACUCCUGCUUAAGUGCUAAGGAGUAAACUGCUUGGGGCGUGCGAGGACCCUGCCUGGGUUCAGCUGCCAGGUGGUGGGAGACACAUUGGGAGUGCCUGUGCUUGUUUCAGCUCUGGGGAAGGCCAGCAGUAGGUAAAAGAGAAUACUCUGUAACAUAUUAUUUAUACCCUAUUUGGGGCUUCAUUGCUGGACAGCAGUGGCCGAACUCUCCCAAAGCUGUAGCUAUUGUAUAGGUACAGUAUGAAGUCACGAGCAGUGAGUUGUGCUACAGAUGAGCACCUGUGAGUGGUUUACACACAGACAGCAAAGAAGCUGGGAUUUGUCACAGCUGGUUCUGUUCAGUUACUCAAAUCCAGCUGCCUGAAUGACAGGGACAGGAGCUUCUGAGCCUGGGUUUUCUUAAGCUGGCUCUAGGAAUAAAUGCAUGUUUGUACAGAGGCAAGAGCAGCUGAAUCUUUGUGGGCUGGGUUAUCUUAUUUGCUAGAGGUUUGAUUUCUCCUCUUACCAACUUUUGUGUAACUCAGUGCCAAAGAAACUUUCUUCCUUGGAUCAGGUGAAGAUUUGGCUGGGCUAUGUACAUUUGAGUGUGAUAGCGUGGCUUAAAGUGUCUGGCUUGCACUCAAAUGCUGCUUCUUUUGGCUUUAAUGGAAAUUUUAACUUAAGGCUGAAGGCUUUUUGUGUUGAACUCUUUUCAUUUCCCACAAUUCAUUAACAGAUGCUUUUAGCUGAAUAAUAAUAAACAUAUAUAUUAAACUGAGAUUUGCUAAGUUGGGUUAGAAGUGACUCAGGGUCUGCUUUAUACAGACAUCUUCCAGGUGUCAGCUAAGCCACGUUUUGGUAUUUCAGAUGUACUACCAUGGACAACUACUUUCUUAGUAGUUCUACAUGGUUCAUGGGGUAUGUAAUGAAGCAAAAAGGUGGACUGGCAGUGUAUACAGCCCAGGGCCAGCUUACAUUACACUUCUGUUGUAUUUUACAGCUAAAUGUCUUUUGGGAUGAGGUUCCUAACUUUUUCUGUUGCUUUGUCAAGACAAAGUGGGGUAGAUAGGCUGUUUGUUCUGUCUCCUGCACCCUGACCUGAUUUAUUAGUUGUAAUGGAAGAAGAUGUCUGUCUUUGAGAUUAAUCGUACAUAGCAGUGACUACAGAUUUUAAUUUCCAAAUCCUGUUUUCGUGUUUUUAAUUACUGCUCUUUCAUAUCCGUUCUGUUAAAAUGAUUGGUAUUUAAGCACUUAAAACUGAGAAAUGAAAUUACUGCCAAGAUAUCUUGCCAUUGCGAUAAACAGAUCAACUCAGCAGUCACUCAGUGAGCAUUGGUUGGAGCAGUGAGGAACCCAUCAAAAAAUGAACCAUGGAUUCUGCUGCCAUUUGGAAGUACUGCCUCAGAACUCUGUGAACAUUUGUGAUGGAUCAACAGGCAUCUCAGGCUGUUGCAUGUCAGGUAAACCAACCGAGCUGCCACAUCUGCCUGAUGCUCGCUUUGAGAAGUUGUUAUUAAAGAAAGAGAGGACUGCCCAUGAGAGAAUGUUUUGAAAACUCUUCCUUAACUACACCUAACAGCUGCAAGGACCUUCUGGUUGCCUCCUCCCAGCCCUCCUCAGUCAAAGGAAGCCGCAUCUGUGGAAGUCUGGAGCACGCUGUCAGGAGGACAGCAAUGAAUGUACAGCUGUACCACUUUAAUAUCAGGUAUUAAUCUUUAAUUUCACAUCACAGCAGUCGAGUGAAUGGGUAAGGGAAAGAAACCCAAAACAAACAGCAGAUAUUUACAUCUAAAAUUCACACCACUUAUUUGUUGAUUCUGGAAACAUGCUAUCACAAUAUAUACAAUGAAGUACCUUUAGGACACUUGUACAAAUUAUUUUUUUCCUUUUCAAUUUGAUUUCCAUUAUAGAUAAGAUAGCUGUUCUGAUUUUAUUUUAAACAUGAAUACACAAAAGAGAAGUGGUUAGAGGUUUUUGCCUUUUUUAAAUAAGCACAGAAUGCCAGAGGUUAAAAACACAUUUACAGGGCAGAAUACCAGUCGGACGUCACAAUCUAUACAUUUUUUGCUCAAUUUCCUGUACAAAUACACAGCAUUCAAAUGGGGGUAUUUACAAAGAAGCAUGAAUAGAGGAAAUUUUAAAUAUCACUUAAUUUGUUUCCCAAAGGCUUUUGCUCUCUCCAGCCUCCCCGGUUUUGGCUGUUUCUCCCACAACAGGGAUACAGGAUAUCCCUUACCUGAAAAAUGGUAAGCAGGCUAAAAAGUAAAUGAAGGAAAGGAUGGAUAAGAAUCGUAGUUUUGCACACAGCAAUAAAACCAACCCAGCCAUUGAAAAAAUGUGUAGGAUCCAGACAACAAUUCUAACUGCUUUUCUUCUAUUACUGUAGUUUCUUCUCAUUUUUGUUUCAGAUGGGGCCGGCAGGUACGCUCAUGAUGGAGAGAUGUGCUGCAGAAUUCCACCAAUUGUUUCAGGAAUGCACAUGCUAUUCUGUUACGCAACGAAAACCCAAGGAAGGCAAGGAUGCAUUACAUCUGAAUCAGAGUUAAGUGCAGAACAAACGGGUCCUGUUCAAAACAUCCCGUCACUGUGGUUUAUACAAAGAAUCUUCAAAUCCUGUUGCACCAGUGCAACAACUGCUGUUGCUUCCCCCUGCUCCAGGACUGAGUUUGCUGAUGGAGUUGCACUGUGCUAGAAAGCCACCCCACCCUCCAGAGAAGUAUUAGUUCCAUGAAGUACUUGUUCCAGCAUUCACAAAACCUAACAGCAGUCUAUCUUCUGCACCCUUUAAGUUAAGCACUGAAAAGGGUGACAGAACGUGUAGUAGGCAUCAGAACAACAGAAAUUUAACUCCACAGAGGCUCAAAUUUAGUGAAUUCAGUAAUUUAUUCCAUCCUCCUUUGUGUGCACCUGCCAUAAAUUGGGUAUCUGUAUACACCAUUCCAUUAUCUUCAACCCCCCUGCAAAUACAUAGUUAUGACAGACACUCAGAAUGGUCAGACUGCUGUUGUACAGCCCUUCUAAUCAGAGCGAGGUGGUGCACUGUGAGAGACUGAUGGGAGCUCCAGGGCAGGUCUUCCAGCUGAAUGAGACUUUGCCCCAUGUUAAUUGCAUUCCUGCUUUUGCAGUUUUAUUUGCAGGACCUGCUGGUUUUUUGGUGCUUUUUUUUUUUUUAAUACAACGAGGAAGUUCAGUAUAUCAGUACAUGUACUACUUUCAACCUUCCCACUAAAAAAACCCCCCAAAAACCAACCAAAACCAAACAUGGUCAGGGAGAUGGAAUUGAGUACUUAAUUCUCUUAAAAAUUUCUAAGAAUAACAUGAAAAUAUUUCACUCACUUCUAAGGAAUUACCUUGACUUACCUUCAUUGAAAACAUAACUCUGAAUGAGCUUUCGUAUCUGUGUGCUAUACCAGAGACCCAGCUUGGUUCAUUAACAGUUAGGGCGGUUCUACUACUGGAAAACUCUCACUCCUGCUAGAGAUGAAACAUCCACCGUAUGCCGGAUUUAAUAUCAUUCUCUUCUUAAUUGUGAUGGUUGUAGGGAUUACAAGCAGCCUAUGUUAGUGACAAAAUAGAGGAAGCACAAGAGACUUUGUUCCAGCCAAAUGGGCCACUUAAGAAACAAAACCAUAAUUUAUUACUUUUGUAUGGGCUAGAGCUUGAGAAAGAAAAGAAAGAAAUCCUCUUAAAAUCCCCUUCGUAUGACAGCUGACUGAGCCCAGACUUUGUACAGACAGACCAUCUUUAGGAGAGUUCAGAAGCAAUGUACUCCGCCCAGUCACUGUAUUUAGAGGUAGUGCUUAAGGUGACCUGUAACAGAGGCGUAUCCUUUUUUGCUUCUUUAUGCUGUUUGUAGAAGGAGAAACUGAGUGACUAGGGGAUUCCUAUUUCUGACACUAAUUUACGUGGUGGAGGAAAGUCUUUUGUCUGAAUGUGCUUCAGGUUUUUCAGUGGUAACUUACCAUCUUCUGGAGUGUGCUUUGCAGUCUGCAGGUGGAAAUGAAUGUAAGGAAAGGCCAAAAUGUGUGCAGGCACGGCAGCAGGAAAGAGCAUUACUUACUUAUCUAAAAACACUAGAUACCUGCUUUUUUGAUCCAAAGUUUCUUGAAAAAUAUGAAAAUAUGAAAAUAGAAGAUUUCUUCUAGUUCUUUUCACACCACAGGUCUUGCCUCUUACCACAGAACUUUUUCCUGUCUUUUAAUGCAACUCAACUAAGCAAAUACUGAUUAAAAGGUUUGUUUCACA